GGAGGGUGCAAGCGUUAAUCGGAAUUACUGGGCGUAAAGCGCACGCAGGCGGUCUGUUAAGUCAGAUGUGAAAUCCCCGGGCUUAACCUGGGAACUGCAUUUGAAACUAGCAGGCUUGAGUCUUGUAGAGGGGGGUAGAAUUCCAGGUGUAGCGGUGAAAUGCGUAGAGAUCUGGAGGAAUACCGGUGGCGAAGGCGGCCCCCUGGACAAAGACUGACGCUCAGGUGCGAAAGCGUGGGGAGCAAACAGGAUUAGAUACCCUGGUAGUCCACGCCGUAAACGAUGUCGACUUGGAGGUUGUUCCCUUGAGGAGUGGCUUCCGGAGCUAACGCGUUAAGUCGACCGCCUGGGGAGUACGGCCGCAAGGUUAAAACUCAAAUGAAUUGACGGGGGCCCGCACAAGCGGUGGAGCAUGUGGUUUAAUUCGAUGCAACGCGAAGAACCUUACCUACUCUUGACAUCCAGAGAACUUUCCAGAGAUGGAUUGGUGCCUUCGGGAACUCUGAGACAGGUGC
rnacentral:rRNA from 1 species